AUUGAACGCUGGCGGCAUGCCUUACACAUGCAAGUCGAACGGCAGCGGACCUUCGGGUGCCGGCGAGUGGCGAACGGGUGAGUAAUGCAUCGGAACGUACCUUUCAGUGGGGGAUAACGUAGCGAAAGUUACGCUAAUACCGCAUAUUCUGUGAGCAGGAAAGCAGGGGAUCGCAAGACCUUGCGCUGAUUGAGCGGCCGAUGUCAGAUUAGCUAGUUGGGGAGGUAAAGGCUCACCAAGGCGACGAUCUGUAGCGGGUCUGAGAGGAUGAUCCGCCACACUGGAACUGAGACACGGUCCAGACUCCUACGGGAGGCAGCAGUGGGGAAUUUUGGACAAUGGGGGCAACCCUGAUCCAGCCAUGCCGCGUGAGUGAAGAAGGCCUUCGGGUUGUAAAGCUCUUUCGGCCGGGAAGAAAUCGCACGGGCUAAUACCCUGUGUGGAAGACGGUACCGGAAUAAGAAGCACCGGCUAACUACGUGCCAGCAGCCGCCGUAAGAC
rnacentral:rRNA from 1 species